CCGGUUAAUCCUUUGCGCAAAGCCAAAAGUCGGUAAGAAAUAAUAUUUAAAAAUUACCUGUUGCUAGAUGCACUUUGCCUAGGGGGCUACGUGUCGCUGUGUUUUUGGCUUUGGGUGGUUAUGGCGGACGUAGGCGAAGCACGUUGUUUCUGUGUGAUCAAUUUCCUUUUCCAGCAAAACCUUUCUUGGCUGCACAACGUAUUUUAAUCUGCGUGCAGUGUAUGAACUCGUGAUAUAUGCGGACAAAGUGGAGGUAGUUACUACAGUGUCAAGGAGUUGCACUUCCAUGAAGGAUCGGUGGACGAUUUUAGCUCAACGGCUGUUUAUGCCUGCUGGCGAAGAAACGAUGGACUGUUGUCCCGCCAAGGUGCCGAUAAUGAAAGAAAACGUACCUUAUCAAGACAGUGUGACGUCCACAAGCAAGUGCCACAGAUUUUUUAUGCUCAUGACACGGAUGCAGCUCUGUGCGAGAAGUGGCAAGAACAGUGCGGUCACCUAGGGAGCUCCACGGACAGAUCAUGACUGCAAAGCGGCGCCAGCAGUUGCUGCUGUCACGAGUUGCUUUCAGGAGUACACUGCCACGAAGCCCAGCUGCAAAGGCAGAAGUCUGACUGAGUGAAUUGAUCCAAUUAACAGCUACUUGGCUGACUUCCUAAAAAGGCUAUAAGACAAUAAAUUUUGUCAAAUUGACA